rnacentral:rRNA from 1 species
UACGAAGGGGGCUAGCGUUGUUCGGAAUUACUGGGCGUAAAGGGCGCGUAGGCGGCCUUCUAAGUCGAACGUGAAAUCCCCGGGCUCAACCCGGGAACUGCGUCCGAUACUGGAAGGCUUGAAUCCGGGAGAGGGAUGCGGAAUUCCAGGUGUAGCGGUGAAAUGCGUAGAUAUCUGGAGGAACACCGGUGGCGAAGGCGGCAUCCUGGACCGGCAUUGACGCUGAGGCGCGAAAACCAGGGGAGCAAACGGG